UACGAAGGGGGCUAGCGUUGUUCGGAAUUACUGGGCGUAAAGCGCACGCAGGCGGAUUGUUUAGUCAGGGGUGAAAUCCCGGGGCUCAACCCCGGAACUGCCUCUGAUACUGGCAAUCUCGAGUUCGGGAGAGGUGAGUGGAAUUCCGAGUGUAGAGGUGAAAUUCGUAGAUAUUCGGAGGAACACCAGUGGCGAAGGCGGCUCACUGGCCCGAAACUGACGCUGAGGUGCGAAAGCGUGGGGAGCAAACAGGAUUAGAUACCCCGGUAGUCC
rnacentral:rRNA from 1 species